AACGGUGAAGCAGGAGCUUGCUCUUGUGGAUCAGUGGCGAACGGGUGAGUAACACGUGAGCAACCUGCCCCUGACUCUGGGAUAAGCGCUGGAAACGGCGUCUAAUACUGGAUAUGUGAUGUGACCGCAUGGUCUGCAUCUGGAAAGAAUUUCGGUUGGGGAUGGGCUCGCGGCCUAUCAGCUUGUUGGUGAGGUAAUGGCUCACCAAGGCGUCGACGGGUAGCCGGCCUGAGAGGGUGACCGGCCACACUGGGACUGAGACACGGCCCAGACUCCUACGGGAGGCAGCAGUGGGGAAUAUUGCACAAUGGGCGAAAGCCUGAUGCAGCAACGCCGCGUGAGGGAUGACGGCCUUCGGGUUGUAAACCUCUUUUAGCAGGGAAGAAGCGAAAGUGACGGUACCUGCAGAAAAAGCACCGGCUAACUACGUGCCAGCAGCCGCGGUAAUACGUAGGGUGCAAGCGUUAUCCGGAAUUAUUGGGCGUAAAGAGCUCGUAGGCGGUUUGUCGCGUCUGCUGUGAAAUCCCGAGGCUCAACCUCGGGCCUGCAGUGGGUACGGGCAGACUAGAGUGCGGUAGGGGAGAUUGGAAUUCCUGGUGUAGCGGUGGAAUGCGCAGAUAUCAGGAGGAACACCGAUGGCGAAGGCAGAUCUCUGGGCCGUUACUGACGCUGAGGAGCGAAAGGGUGGGGAGCAAACAGGCUUAGAUACCCUGGUAGUCCACCCCGUAAACGUUGGGAACUAGUUGUGG
rnacentral:rRNA from 1 species